UACGGAAGGUCCGGGCGUCAUCCGGAUUUAUUGGGUUUAAAGGGAGCGCAGGCGGAGGGCUAAGCGUGGCGUGAAAUGCCGGGGCUCAACCUUGGAAUUGCGUCGCGAACUGGUCCCCUUGAGUGCACUCGAGGCAGGCGGAAUCCGUGGUGUAGCGGUGAAAUGCUUAGAUAUCACGAAGAACUCCGAUUGCGAAGGCAGCUUACUGGUGUGUUACUGACGCUGAUGCUCGAAGGUGCGGGUAUCAAAC
rnacentral:rRNA from 1 species